GUUGGUGUAGUUGGUUAUCACGUCAGUCUAACACACUGAAGGUCGGCGGUUCGAAUCCGUCAUG
rnacentral:tRNA from 1 species